rnacentral:tRNA from 1 species
GUUAAUGUAGCUUAAACCCAUAAAGCAAGGCACUGAAAAUGCCUAGAUGAGUCGCUAGACUCCAUAAACA